AGAAGUAGAGUCUGAAAUCUGACUUGCCAGUAAACACAACGCGUUUUAACCAACCCACUGUGUGAUUGUUUUGUAGAAGCUUAUGCAAAUAUAUUUCGUUCCGGUAAGAUUCACAAUUUUAGCUUAUUCAAAUAUGGCUAGCAGCAGUAGAAGCUCCUCAACUUCAGCUAUGCUGACAUAUCCCACAAGAAAUUCUAACUAUGAUGUGUUUGUGAGCUUCAGAGGUGAAGACACUCGCAACAAUUUCACCGAUUUUCUUUUCCACGCCUUUCAAACACAAGGCAUUUUUGCAUUUAGGGAUGACACUAAUCUUCCAAAAGGUGAAUCCAUAGCACCCGAACUCCUUCAUGCAAUCCAACACUCUCAGAUCUUCGUUGUCGUCUUCUCAACCAACUAUGCUUCCUCAACCUGGUGCUUGCAAGAAUUGGAUCAAAUAUGUGAAUUCCUUCAACUGUCUGGAAAACACGUUCUUCCUGUUUUCUAUGAUGUUGAUCCUUCUGAGGUCAGACAUCAAAAAGGAAGCUAUGCUGAAGCCUUUUCCAAACAUGAACACAGAUUUCAACACGACUCUCAGAUGGUGUCAAAAUGGAGGGAAGCUCUAACACAGGUUGCAAAUCUCUCUGGAUGGGAUCUGCGUCACAAGCCACAAUCUGCCUCCAUUAAAGAGAUUGUUCAAAAGAUAAUUAAUAUACUGGAUUGCGGAUCUUCAUGUGUUUCAAAAGAUUUAGUUGGUAUGGAUUCUCCUAUCCAAGAAUUACAAAAGCUUUUACUUUUGGACUUGGUUCAUGAUGUUCGGGUCAUAGGAAUUUGCGGGAUGGGUGGAAUAGGGAAGACAACUCUUGCUACUGUUUUAUAUGAUCGAAUCUCUCAACUUUUCGGUGCAUGUUGUUUUAUUGAUGAUGUAAGCAAAAUUUAUAGACUACAUGAUGGUCCACUCGGUGCACAAAAGCAAAUUCUAGAUCAAACUCUCGGACAAGAGCACCAUCAGAUAUGCAAUCAUUACAACGCAACUAAUCUGAUACGACGCAGGCUAUGUCGCCAAAGGGCCCUUAUCAUUCUUGAUAAUGUAGGUCAAGUCGAACAACUAGAAAAAAUAGCUGUGUAUCGUGAAUGCUUAGGUGCCCGUAGUAGAAUCAUUAUCAUUUCUAGAGAUGAACAUAUAUUGAAACAGUAUGGGGUGGAUGCAGUUUACCAAGUUCCUCUCUUGAAUCAGACUAACUCUCUUCAAUUAUUGUGUCGAAAAGCUUUCAAACUUGAUCACAUUUUGAGUACUUAUGAAAGGUUGGUUGAUGACAUACUGGAUUAUGUCAAUGGCCUUCCACUAGCAAUUAAAGUAUUGGGCUCAUUUUUGUAUGGUCGGGGUGUAUCUGAAUGGAGCAGUGCAUUGGCAAGAUUGAGAGAAAGUCCAGAAAAAGAUGUCAUGGAUGUCUUGCGAUUAAGUUUUGAUGACCUAAGGGAGACAGAAAAAGAAAUAUUUCUUCAUAUUGCUUGUUUUUUCAUCACAUAUCCGGAGAAAUAUGUUAAAAAUGUUUUAAAUUGUUGUGAAUUUCAUGCUGAUAUUGGACUAAGGGUUCUCGUUGAUAAAUCACUUGUAAGCAUUGAAGAUGAAAGGAUUCUAAUGCAUAAUUUGUUGAAAGAGCUAGGAAGAAAUAUUGUUGCACAAUACACAAGCAAAGAGCCCAGAAAGUGGAGAAGGCUGUGGUUCGAGAAACAAUUCUAUGAUGUUAUGUUGGAAAAUAUGGAAAAGAAUGUUGAAGCCAUAGUUUUGGAUCAUGAAUAUGAAGAAUAUAGUGAGGUUGAUGAAGAUAUGGAUGCAGUGAUAUUCAAAGACUUUUCAAAUCUUAGAUUGCUCAUCAUUGAUCAUGUAAAUGUAUCGGGAAGCUUCAAUUGUCUUUCUAACGAAUUGAGAUAUAUUGAGUGGAGUGGAUAUCCUUUCAUGUAUUUGCCAUCAAGUUUUCAGCCCAAUCAACUUGUUGAGUUGAUAUUGAAGUAUAGCAGCCUUAAACAACUCUGGGAAGGCAAGAAGAAUCUGCCCAAAUUGAGAAUUUUGGAUCUGAGUCACUCCAAUAAUCUAAUAAAGAUACCAGAUUUUGGAGAGUUCCCAAAUCUCGAGCGGCUAAAUCUAAAAGGAUGUAUACAACUUGUGCAGUUGGAUCCAUCUAUUGGGCUUCUAAAAAAGAUUGUUUACUUGAAUUUAAGAUAUUGCCGAAGUUUAGUAAGCAUACCCAACAACAUAUUUGGUCUCAGGUCUCUUAUAGUUCUAAAAAUGCAUGGGUGUUCUGGGAGUUGGUUCAAAGAGUUUAACAACACAAGGCAUUUGGAUGUAAGUGAAAGUGCUUCACAUUCCCAAUCAAUGUCCUCCAUCUGCAAAUGGACCACAAAGCCUUACCAUUCCUUGCUUCCCACUCCCACAACAAACACUGUUAUGUUUCCUUCCUUGCUUAGCAUAUAUUGUUUACGUGAAGUUGAUAUUAGCUGUUGUGGUUUAAGCCAACUCCCUGAGGCUAUUGGAUGUUUACGUUGGUUAGAAAUGUUAAAUCUUGGGGGGAACAAUUUUGUGACACUGCCUAGCCUUAGGGAGCUUUCCAAACUUGUACAUUUGAACUUGGAGGACUGCAAGCGGUUGGAAUCUUUGCCCGAGCUUCCUUUCCCUUCUACUAUCGAGCAGGAUCUUCGAAAGAACAGAUAUUGGAAGAGAGCAGGAUUGUUCAUUUUCAACUGUCCUAAAAUAAGUGAUAAGGAAAGAUGCAGUAGAAUGACAUUCUCAUGGAUGACACAAUUCAUUCAAAUGAACAAUGAACACCCUGCCUUCUCUAACAUUGGUAUUGUCAAUCCAGGAAGUGAAAUACCAAGUUUGUUCAACAAUCAGAGCGUUGAUAGUUCAAUUCCCGUAUCUCCUGUUACGAGGGACAAGGGCAAUAAUAUCGUUGGCUUUUUAUGUUGUGCAGUAUUUUCUUUAGCGCAUUGUUAUCCAACAACGACAAGAUCUUGGGCCCUGUUGGAACUGUAUGCAUUAAACAACAUUGUCUUUCUUCCGGUAAAUUUAGAUGGAAAUCUUAUUACUGUCGCAUCAAAUUACAUCUGGCUAAUCUAUUUCCCUUGGAAGUCAUCUUAUGAUGAUUUGUAUGCUCCUUUCCAUGUUAAAACUAAAUGCGAUGGAGGCUUGGAUGUGGAGGUGAAGAAAUGCGGGUAUGGUUGGGUAUAUAAACAAGAUCUACAAGAGCUCAACUCAAAAAUGCUGCAUAAGCACAAGUUUUUAGAAUUUGAAGAUGAGGUACAACCACAACUACACUCAUUUGAAAUAUAGAAGAAACAACACAUGGACAAGAAGGUCAGGGAGAACCUCAAGCAAAUGGAUAACCAAGAAGAAACAUUGACUUGAUUUUCAUCUCCCUUGUCACAAGAAGACCCGCAAGUGGGAAAAUGGGGGUCUGAAGCUAAUAGAAGCUUGUUAGAUUAAGGGGUAAUGUUUACAUAAGGAUAAUACGAUUUUGUCAUAUUGCUCAUGAUAUCACCUACAGUCGUUCCAGUAAUGCAAGUCCCUCAAGUUAGAAAAUGAUUUUUGACAAAGCAGAAAAUAUUUGAAGACACGUUAAUAUGAUGCAUCAGGAGUCAAUAUAAGUGGAGUUUGAUUUUGAACAAGGAUUAUUCCUCAUAAAAAUUAACUCAGCAAUUAUUUAUAUAUAAAAUGUCAUAAUGGGUACUGUGUUAUUUGUGCUUUCUGCUACCAGAAGCAACAUUCCUUGCAGUCUACUGGAAGAAUUAUCUCCCCAAUGAUACUUGUGGAUAAUUUGAGUCCUAACAUUGAAAUAUUAUCUAUAUGCAAUUGUUGUGCAAAAUAAAAGUAUCACAGGGGAGUUAACUCUUCCAGUAGUAUGUUAUCUCUCAAGCGCAAUUGAAGAUGAGACACAACCACAACUACAUUCAUUCAUAUGUUAGCUUUCAAGCGUAAUUGAAGAUGAGGAACAACCACAACUACAUUCAUUCACCUGAUGAGAUAGAUCUAAGUAGUAGAAACUACAUUCACAUACACUUUCAUCAAAUUUCAAAACUGUCAGACUAUUUUCCUGUCCACUUCGUUGGCGGGUAACCAGGUAAAAACAAAUGCUUAUCAACAUAGAAAAUUUUCAUCCUUGGAAUAUGAUAAGUUAAUUGUGAAGAGGAAGAAUAUUUACAACAGAUGCAUCACAAAAAUAUCCUUAGUUUAGGCAAUUGAAGAUUAGAUGCAUACUCAAUGAUUCAUCUGAUUAAAUAAAUGAUAAGCUAUUGGAACAGCAUUUUGGUUACACUUCCAUCCAACUUCAAAACUGUCAGAGUAAAUUACAGUUCACUUUAUUUGUUGGUAAUAAGGAGACACGUUUAGACAACACGUGUACAAGAAGGUCAGGAAGAGUCUCAACAGAAUGGAUAACAAAGAAGAAACAUUGACUUGAUUUUCAUUUCUGUUGUCACUCAAAGGUCAUCAAGGGGCAAAAUGGGAUCCGUUAUGGGUGGCCAAGGCUUGCAUCUGGAGGUAAAGAAUUGUGGCUAUCGUUGGAUAUUUAAACAGGAUCAACAACCAUUUGGCUCAUUUAGCAAUGAUGAGUUGCAGAAAGAGGAAAGUCAUAAGCUCAGACCUGCAACUCUUUUGGCAAUUGAAGACGAGGCACGGCCACAAUCGCUAGCACAAUAAGUUAUCCGAUGGAACUACGACAAGGUUUUCAUUUGAAGGUUGGAAUCAUUAGGCAGUUCAGUCCAGUGUAGAUUUUUCCUUUAUUUUCGGUUUUAACUUAUGAUCAUUGUAAUUCCCUAUAUAAAAAAUUAUAUUUAUCCAUCUCUUCCAUUUUUGAACUAAACUUUUAGCCAAGCUUACAGAUUUGAAUGUGGGAACAAUGCUAUGAAAGCUGAAUUAGAAGCUGAUCAUAACAUCAACAUCUGAUCCAUUUUAGAUUUACCUGUUGGUCAAAAUUGAUGGCUCUAUGAAAGUUAUAAAACCAGACUUGUUGUCAAAAGGUACACUAAUGAGUUACUUACUUUGAUA